ensembl:lncRNA
GCUUUUUAAAUAUUUAGGGUCAGUGCAUCAUGUGACACUGAAGACUGGAGUAAUGAUGCUGAAAAUUCAGCUUUACAUCACAGGAAUAAAUUACAGUUUACAAUAUAUUCAAAUAGAAAACAGUUAUUUUAAAUUGUAGUAAUAUUUCACCUUUUCUUUUUUUUGAUCAAAUAAAUGCAGACUAAAUGCAGAAGAGAGUAUAUUAAUAAGAUAAAAACUCACUUUUGAUUUCAGUUGUCGGUUCUCUCACUUAUUUAUUGACUUGACAAUUUGUAAUUUCUCUGUUCCGCUUGACAGAUCCUGCACUUCACGAGCGAAAAAGACUCAUGUCCUCAGAAAUUAUACAGCACAUGGAGAGUGACUUUUAUGAUUUUGAGAUGAACUGCGGUCUGCUGCUGCUUCAGACAGAUGAUGCUUCCUCCAGCUAUUUACUGUUGUGGUUAG